UUGAAGAGUUUGAUCAUGGCUCAGAUUGAACGCUGGCGGCAGGCCUAACACAUGCAAGUCGAACGGUAACAGAAAGAAGCUUGCUUCUUUGCUGACGAGUGGCGGACGGGUGAGUAAUGUCUGGGAAACUGCCUGAUGGAGGGGGAUAACUACUGGAAACGGUAGCUAAUACCGCAUAACGUCGCAAGACCAAAGAGGGGGACCUUCGGGCCUCUUGCCAUCGGAUGUGCCCAGAUGGGAUUAGCUUGUUGGUGGGGUAACGGCUCACCAAGGCGACGAUCCCUAGCUGGUCUGAGAGGAUGACCAGCCACACUGGAACUGAGACACGGUCCAGACUCCUACGGGAGGCAGCAGUGGGGAAUAUUGCACAAUGGGCGCAAGCCUGAUGCAGCCAUGCCGCGUGUAUGAAGAAGGCCUUCGGGUUGUAAAGUACUUUCAGCGGGGAGGAAGGGAGUAAAGUUAAUACCUUUGCUCAUUGACGUUACCCGCAGAAGAAGCACCGGCUAACUCCGUGCCAGCAGCCGCGGUAAUACGGAGGGUGCAAGCGUUAAUCGGAAUUACUGGGCGUAAAGCGCACGCAGGCGGUUUGUUAAGUCAGAUGUGAAAUCCCCGGGCUCAACCUGGGAACUGCAUCUGAUACUGGCAAGCUUGAGUCUCGUAGAGGGGGGUAGAAUUCCAGGUGUAGCGGUGAAAUGCGUAGAGAUCUGGAGGAAUACCGGUGGCGAAGGCGGCCCCCUGGACGAAGACUGACGCUCAGGUGCGAAAGCGUGGGGAGCAAACAGGAUUAGAUACCCUGGUAGUCCACGCCGUAAACGAUGUCGACUUGGAGGUUGUGCCCUUGAGGCGUGGCUUCCGGAGCUAACGCGUUAAGUCGACCGCCUGGGGAGUACGGCCGCAAGGUUAAAACUCAAAUGAAUUGACGGGGGCCCGCACAAGCGGUGGAGCAUGUGGUUUAAUUCGAUGCAACGCGAAGAACCUUACCUGGUCUUGACAUCCACGGAAGUUUUCAGAGAUGAGAAUGUGCCUUCGGGAACCGUGAGACAGGUGCUGCAUGGCUGUCGUCAGCUCGUGUUGUGAAAUGUUGGGUUAAGUCCCGCAACGAGCGCAACCCUUAUCCUUUGUUGCCAGCGGUCCGGCCGGGAACUCAAAGGAGACUGCCAGUGAUAAACUGGAGGAAGGUGGGGAUGACGUCAAGUCAUCAUGGCCCUUACGACCAGGGCUACACACGUGCUACAAUGGCGCAUACAAAGAGAAGCGACCUCGCGAGAGCAAGCGGACCUCAUAAAGUGCGUCGUAGUCCGGAUUGGAGUCUGCAACUCGACUCCAUGAAGUCGGAAUCGCUAGUAAUCGUGGAUCAGAAUGCCACGGUGAAUACGUUCCCGGGCCUUGUACACACCGCCCGUCACACCAUGGGAGUGGGUUGCAAAAGAAGUAGGUAGCUUAACCUUCGGGAGGGCGCUUACCACUUUGUGAUUCAUGACUGGGGUGAAGUCGUAACAAGGUAACCGUAGGGGAACCUGCGGUUGGAUCACCUCCUU
rnacentral:rRNA from 1 species